rnacentral:rRNA from 1 species
GGGCACCACAAGAGCGCGUGGAGCAUGUGGCUUAAUUUGACUCAACGCGGGGAAUCUUACUAGGUCCGGACCGAGUCUAUGAACGUCGUACCGUUGGGUGCUACGUGAUUACUGGAUGAGUGGUGCAUGGCCGUUCUUAGUUCGUGGUGUUAAUUGUCUACUUAAUUGUUUCGAUUUUUAGUCUCGCGGCUAAGAUCUAUGCAACGAACGAGAUCGAGACCCGUGGUUUGAAUUCGGUAUUACUACGGGGAUCGCGUAACACUCAACGGUACGAUCGAAAGACUCGGCAAUAACAGGUCUGUGAUGCCCUCAGAUGUUCUAGGCUGCACACGUGCUACAUUGUGAGUUGUAGUAUAUUGUGUAUGCGUAGAUAUGUCUAAGAUCCCCCGCACCGAGUCUCAAUUACUCACGUGGUUGGACUCACCGAUUGAAUGUAAUUAUUCGGUAUACUAACUAGGAAUGCCUCGUACGGGA